GAUAUAUUAGAUCCUUUGGAAUAUCACUUCAGUGGCAAUAGAUCAAACCUCUCUGUCAUUUCCUGGAACAGCUUCUCUACCCCAUCUGCAGUACAUCUACGGAGAGAUGAAACGCCGGUUGGUUUUACAGGGUGCUGGAAUUAGUGAAUUAGCAAUUACAGUAAAACAGAGAGAAGUUUCACGCAACAGGAGACGCCCUUGUUCCUGUAAGUAACGGCCACAUGCAAAACCCGUUUCCUGAAACAAACACCCUUCCCAAUCACGCACCGCGACGAAACCACCCCGAGUAACUGCAAAGGUCCAUGGUGAGCAGAAAAAACCAAAAAAAGGGUGAACGGGAUGGUGAGGGCAAAAUAAUAAUACUACAAAAAGAUCAGCGGCAAUCAGAGGGGUUGCAAAAAGAAACCAGGAGGCAGACGGGGCGGAAAAUGCUGACGGCUAAAAAAAAAAAAA